rnacentral:rRNA from 1 species
UUCCUACGGGAGGCAGCAGUGGGGAAUUUUGCGCAAUGGGCGAAAGCCUGACGCAGCAACGCCGCGUGGAGGAUGAAGGUCUUUGGAUUGUAAACCCUUCAGCAGGGAAAAAGCGACUGGUGCUCAUACCACCGGGAGUUGAUUGUACCUGCAGAGGAAGCCCCGGCUAACUCUGUGCCAGCAGCCGCGGUAAUACAGAGGGGGCUAGCGUUAUUCGGAAUUAUUGGGCGUAAAGGGCGCGUAGGCGGCCUGGCAAGUGACGGGUGAAACCCCUCGGCUUAACCGAGGAACUGCCCGUUAGACUGCCUGGCUUGAGACCGGGAGAGGUGAGUGGAAUUCCCAGUGUAGCGGUGAAAUGCGUAGAUAUUGGGAGGAACACCAGUGGCGAAGGCGGCUCACUGGACCGGUACUGACGCUGAGGCGCGAAAGCGUGGGGAGCAAACAGGAUUAGAUACCUGGUAGUCCACGCCGUAACGAUGAGUGCUUGGUGUAGCGGGUAUCGACCCCUGCUGGCGAAGUCAACACAUUAAGCACUCCGCCUGGGGAGUACGGUCGCAAGACUGAAACUCAAGGAAUUGACGGGGGSCCGCACACGGUGGAGCAUGUGGUUUAAUUCGAGCAACGCGCAGAACCUACCUGGGUUUGAACUGCAGUGGAAAGCCUCAAGAUGAGGGCUCCUCUUCGGAGGCCGCUGUAGAGGUGCUGCAUGGCUGUCGUCAGCUCGUGUCGUGAGAUGUUGGGUUAAGUCCCGCAACGAGCGCAACCCUUGUUCACAGUUACUAACGCGUGAAGGCGAGGACUCUGUGGAGACUGCCGGUGAUAAACCGGAGGAAGGUGGGGAUGACGUCAAGUCCUCAUGGCCUUUAUGUCCAGGGCUACACACGUGCUACAAUGGACGGUACAGAGAGUCGCGAGACCGCAAGGUGGAGCUAAUCUCGGAAAGCCGUUCUCAGUUCGGAUUGCAGUUGCAACUGACUGCAUGAAGUUGGAAUCGCUAGUAACGGGAGAUCGAACGCUCCCGUGAAUACGUUCCCGGG